GUGAGGAAUAUUGCGCAAUGGAGGCAACUCUGACGCAGCCAUGCCGCGUGCAGGAAGAAGGCGCUACGCGUUGUAAACUGCUUUUAACCGGGAAGAAACCCCAGGACGUGUCCUGGGUUGACGGUACCGGAGGAAUAAGCACCGGCUAACUUCGUGCCAGCAGCCGCGGUAAUACGAAGGGUGCAAGCGUUAUCCGGAUUCAUUGGGUUUAAAGGGUGCGUAGGAGGAGCGUUAAGUCAGUGGUGAAAUCCUGCAGCUUAACUGUAGACUUGCCAUUGAUACUGGCGCUCUUGAGUGCGCUUGAAGUGGGCGGAAUGUGCCGUGUAGCGGUGAAAUGCUUAGAUAUGGCACAGAACACCAAUUGCGAAGGCAGCUCACUAAGGCGAUACUGACGCUGAGGCACGAAAGCGUGGGGAUCGAACAGGAUUAGAUACCCCUGUAGUCC
rnacentral:rRNA from 1 species